UUUCCCUACGGGAGGCAGCAGUGGGGAAUAUUGGGCAAUGGAGGCAACUCUGACCCAGCAACGCCGCGUGAACGAUGAAGGUCUUCGGAUUGUAAAGUUCUUUAAGUGGGGACGAAGAAAGCGACUGUACCCACAGAAUAAGCAUCGGCUAACUCCGUGCCAGCAGCCGCGGUAAUACGGAGGAUGCGAGCGUUAUCCGGAUUUAUUGGGUUUAAAGGGUGCGUAGGCGGAUUUUUAAGUCAGCGGUAAAAUGUCCGGGCUCAACCCGGGCCGGCCGUUGAAACUGGGGAUCUUGAGUGGGCGAG
rnacentral:rRNA from 1 species